rnacentral:rRNA from 1 species
AUUGAACGCUGGCGGCAGGCCUAACACAUGCAAGUCGAGCGGAUGAAGGGAGCUUGCUCCUGGAUUCAGCGGCGGACGGGUGAGUAAUGCCUAGGAAUCUGCCUGGUAGUGGGGGAUAACGUCCGGAAACGGGCGCUAAUACCGCAUACGUCCUGAGGGAGCAAGUGGGGGAUCUUCGGACCUCACGCUAUCAGAUGAGCCUAGGUCGGAUUAGCUAGUUGGUGGGGUAAAGGCCUACCAAGGCGACGAUCCGUAACUGGUCUGAGAGGAUGAUCAGUCACACUGGAACUGAGACACGGUCCAGACUCCUACGGGAGGCAGCAGUGGAGAAUAUUGGACAAUGGGCGAAAGCCUGAUCCAGCCAUGCCGCGUGUGUGAAGAAGGUCUUCGGAUUGUAAAGCACUUUAAGUUGGGAGGAAGGGCAGUAAGUUAAGACCUUGCUGUUUUGACGUUACCAACAGAAUAAGCACCGGCUAACUUCGUG